AAUAGCAUAUCAAUAAGCGGAGGAAAAGAAACCAACAGGGAUUGCCCUAGUAACGGCGAGUGAAGCGGCAACAGCUCAAAUUUGAAAUCUGGCGUCUUUGGCGUCCGAGUUGUAAUUUGCAGAGGGCGCUUUGGCAUUGGCAGCGGUCCAAGUUCCUUGGAACAGGACGUCACAGAGGGUGAGAAUCCCGUACGUGGUCGCUAGCCUUUACCGUGUAAAGCCCCUUCGACGAGUCGAGUUGUUUGGGAAUGCAGCUCUAAAUGGGAGGUAAAUUUCUUCUAAAGCUAAAUACUGGCCAGAGACCGAUAGCGCACAAGUAGAGUGAUCGAAAGAUGAAAAGCACUUUGGAAAGAGAGUUAAAAAGCACGUGAAAUUGUUGAAAGGGAAGCGCUUGCAGCCAGACUUGCCUGUAGUUGCUCAUCCGGGUUUUUACCCGGUGCACUCUUCUAUGGGCAGGCCAGCAUCAGUUUGGGCGGUUGGAUAAAGGUCUCUGUCACGUACCUCCUCUCGGGGAGAACUUAUAGGGGAGACGUAAUGCAACCAGCCUGGACUGAGGUCCGCGCAUCUGCUAGGAUGCUGGCGUAAUGGCUGUAAGCGGCCCGUCUUGAAACACGGACCAAGGAGUCUAACAUCUAUGCGAGUGUUUGGGUGUCAAGCCCGAGCGCGUAAUGAAAGUGAACGGAGGUGGGAACCUUUCGGGGUGCACCAUCGACCGAUCCUGAUGUCUUCGGAUGGAUUUGAGUAAGAGCAUAGCUGUUGGGACCCGAAAGAUGGUGAACUAUGCUUGAAUAGGGUGAAGCCAGAGGAAACUCUGGUGGAGGCUCGCAGCGGUUCUGACGUGCAAAUCGAUCGUCAAAUUUGGGCAUAGGGGCGAAAGACU
rnacentral:rRNA from 1 species